rnacentral:lncRNA from 1 species
UGUGUAUCUUACUCAAGAUACACAAUUUUUUUUAUUAAACUAAUAAAAUUUAUUUUAAAAUAUACAGCUCAGUAUUGACAUUUUUUAAGUCAGCAAAAUAAUUUAUAAUAGUCAAAUGCCUCUUAAAUAUACAUGAUAUCUUCUGAAGCUAAAAGUAAUAUUCACAGCCCGGCAUGGUGGCGCACGCCUUUAAUCCCAGCACUCGGGAGACAGAGGCAGGACACCCAGGGCUAUACAGAGAAACCCUGUCUCAAAAAACCAAAAAAAAAAAAAAAAAAAGGUAAUACUCACUCAACCAGUUUUUAAAAUCUAUUUGGAACAUUAAAUGUGAUAGAAGUAGAAAAAAAAAUCUCUUAUGAAGUCCUCUAUAAAAGGAAAUUGUGACAAGUUCCUGAUUAGACAGAAACUGUUCUAUCUCCAAGGGAAAAUAUGCAGUGUAACUGUGGCUUCAUAGAAUGAGUUAGGUAGUGUUCCUUCUGUUUCUAUUUUGUGGAAUAGUUUGAAGAGUAUUGGUAUUAGGUCUUCUUUGAAGGUCUGAUAGAACUCUGCACUAAACUCAUCUGAUCUUGGGCUUGGUUGGCAGACUUUUAAUGACUGCUUCUAUUUCUUUAGGGAUGAUGGACUGUUUAGAUGGUUUAUCUGAUCCUGAUUUAACUUUGGUACCUGGUAUCUGUCUAGAAAAUUGUCCAUUUUGUCUAGAUUUUCCAGUUUUGUUGAGUAUAGGCUUUUGUAGUAGGAUCUGAUGUUUUUUGAAUUUCCUCAGUGUCUGUUGUUCUAUCUCCCUUUUCAUUUCUGACUUUGUUAAUUUGGAUACUGUCUCUGUGCCCUCUGGUUAGUCAAGCUAAGGGUUUAUCUAUCUUGUUGAUUUUCUCAAAGAACCAGCUCCUGAGUUUGUUGAUUCUUUGUAUAGUUCUUUUUGUUUCUACUUGGUUGACUUCAGCCCUGGGUUUGAUUAUUUCCUGCUGUCUACUCCUCUUGGGUGUACUUGCUUCUUUUUGUUCUGGAGCUUUCAGGUGUGCUGUUAAGCUGGUAGUGUAAGAUACACAAUUUUUAAAGAUCUGGGGGUAUCACUCAGUGGUCAGGCCCUUGUCUAGUGUAUGCCAAGUUCUGGGUCCAAUCUCUAGUAUUGUAAAAAGAAAAGAAAAUGUCUUAGGGUUAUUAUUGAGAGAAUUAUGUGGCAAAAGGCCUUAUGAUGUAAGAUUUAUAUCAGCUUCGAGCGAGUUGUUAACCUUACUCUUAAAGGACCUCACCAGUAAGUAUUACAGUAGUGGAUUAUAGUUAAGAGUUGAGGUUUGUUGUUGUUGUUGUUAUUGUUGUCAUUUGUUUUUUUUUUGUUUUGUUUUGUUUUGUUUUUGACAUGGUCUCACUAUGCAACCCUAGCUGACAUCUGACUUGGGGAAUUUCUUCUGCCUAAAUCUCCUGAGUGCUAAGAUUAAAGGGGUGCACCGCCAGGCUCAGCUCAGGUUCAGGGAGGCUUAGCAUACUUUCUGCUUUCCUGCAUUUCCUUGUGUGGUAUACUUAAUUCUCUAAAUCAGCAGUUCUCAACCUGUGGGUGGCAACUCCCAAAAGACCAUCAGAAAACACAGAUAUUUACAUUAUUGUUCCUAACCGCAGCAGUUUGAAGUAGCAAUGGAAUAAUAUUAUGGUCUGGGGUCAACGCAGCAUGAGGGAUGUAUUAUUAAAGGGUCACAGCAUUAGGACAGUUGAGAACCACUGUUCUAAAUGCUAAAACAAAGAUCCUGUACUGGUUGCCCUCCAUGACGUUUUUGACUACCCUUGUAAAUAGAGGUCUCCCCUGCAUGGCAGAGUAUACUUUAAAGCUAAGAAUGGAGCUGGAGUCUAAAAUUAUAUUUCCUUUUAGGUUUCAAAGUGUGCAUUCAUGCAUGGUAUAAAAAGGGCCCUAAGACUUAACUAACCCUGCAAGAUGAUCACCUGGGAACUAUCCCAGCCUCUGAUGUCUGAAUCAACUGCCCUGAGCAGAGAGAGUGGCUGAGAGAUGUCAGGUCCUAGGAAAGAAAUCUUGGUGGUCUGUUGCUGAGUACUUGGCCUUAGAUCUGCUUUUUGGUUGGCCUUGUUGCUUAGAACUGGGGGUGGAUUAAUCUAAUGAUAGCCACCUCUUUUAUUCCCAGAGACACAUGAAAGCCAUCCUUCAGCCAGUCAAGAAUUAACUGAGCACUGGGGUGAAUGCUUAUCUACAUUGCUGAGAAUGGCGUCAAGGUCCAGUCUGAUACCAAGACGAGGUUAAAUUGGGACAGAGCUGCACAGUGAUCCUGAUGUCUGUUCCCAGCUACGCAGUCAAGACUGUGAUAAGUGAGUAUGCCCCAGACAUGUAGGGGAAUCACUGGCCCAGUCUGCCUUCCUAUUUGGCAUCUUAUCAGCACGGGUACAGGUCUAAGGGUUCAAGUUCUCAGCUUGCUUCCUGUCCAAGGGCUUGUCACAGGAAUGGGAGGUGAGCACUGAGCAGUCUCAGGCUAUGCCACUAUUGGAGCCAUCUUAUGACUUCUAAGACUGGGCCAGACCCAGAUUGGAUGACCAGGAUAAAACUAGACACCUGGGAGAGUGUGUCUUCAUGUUCUGACUCAAGAAGCUCCUGGGUGCUUUCCAUCCAAGUAGUGGGGGCUAUGUCUUACCUAGAAUCCGAAUUCUGCCCCAUACUAUGAACAGUUAAUGUACUGGCCCUCAAGGAGUUGGGCUCCUAAGUCCAGACAAACCACACAGGGUGAAAGGCCUUGACUGCAGAGCAUGGUGUUCUUAUCUGGCCUCUAGCCCAGUCGCCUCUCUGGCUUUUCUUUGAUGAUACUUUAAAGAAUGGCAAUUGGAUGCUUUCCCUAACCCCUGAGGCCCAAAGACCAUUACGUCAGUGCAGAGCAGGCAACACAAUGGUGGUAUUGGGGAUCAGAAAGAAGGAAGCUCCAGAAAGUCAGGGUAGGUAGUUGGCACGUAGGCUGUUUUGGCACUGAGACCAGCUUGAUUAGAUAGCCUCUAAGAAGCCCAUGGGCUGGUCCCUUGGAGCCCAGAGCUGAUUCCAUACUGGUAUAUGCAGAGAUUGGGAAACAAGGUAACUGGGUUAUUUCUCAGCUGUAGAUAGAUUUUGACUCUCCUAGCUGAGGUAAGAAUCUAUUUACCAGUUCACUUAUGCUUGCAAAGUCAUCAUGUGCUACUAACAGGUCAUUUCAGGACGUGUUCUUGAUUUGAGGCCAGAAUAGGGUAAGUGGGCCUGGAUUUGAGGGGGCCUGGGAAGAGGAGGAAGAGGGUUAUGGAGGUCACUGUGAGGAUGUAGUGACCUAGAUGCCAUCACAUGGCACAGGUUCUCAUAGCAAUCUACACUGUUAGUCUGAAGGCUGCCACGCCUUUGACUUGGUAGUUCCACUGCCUGAAUUAAUCCUGGAGAGAUCUGCCAUGCUGGGCAUGGGGGCACACUCCCCACUUGGAGGGCAGAGACAGGCAGCUAUCUAGAUAGAGGAAAGCCUGGGCUUCCCCAGUUUGGGAUGGGGAAGGGGAUAGAAGGCAGGAAGG